ACUUUUGUCUCUCCUGCAUUCAUCUGCCAAAUAAAUUUGGAAUCUAGUUCCAGUUACAAUUGAAUUUGAUCUUACCAAAAUUCUGAAUGCUCCUUAGAAUUUUAUUACAAAUUUUGGGACUUCCUGUGUUGAAUUUAUAAUGAUUAUAAUCAAUCAAACAUUUGCCACCAUGCAUGGUUUUGGAUCUAUUACUCCAUUUGAAAUGGAAUGACAAAAUUUUUGAAAUCUCAUUAGCAUUUAAAACCUUACGAGGUUUGUAUAGAAUGUUGCUCCGAGUAUGAUGUAGGUGGUAAUUUACUUUUGAGAGGCCUCCUACGGGGAUAUUCCUGUUAAAUUAGGUUCUGAGAAUACAUGACAGUGAGACCGCAGAAGCUGGUGGAGCGGCUGAGAUCCCGUGGGGGAAGAUACAUUGCUCUUCAUCUGAGAUAUGAGAAAGACAUGUUAUCUUCAACUAGCUGUACUCAUGGUCUUACUGAUGCAGAAUCUGAAGAGCUAAGAAUAAUGAGGCUAUAUGUUGACAAGUGGCAAAACUUCCUGUCUCUGCAUUGGAUGUAAUGUACCUCCACUAGAAGAUGAAGAAGAUAAAUUCAACAGAACAGAGAAAAUGAGGCUUUUGUACAUUAACCCCCGAAGAGGCUCGACGCAUGUUGGCAAAACUAGAUAUUUACAGGAAGUUUACUAAUGCUUUGGCAGUCGCUGUUAUUGUGUCCGUAGGCUGGAUAUGCUAUGAGCUGUACUUACUCGGGAGAAGCAAGUGAAGAGUUUGACAGGGAUGAUCAUCAUGAUGGAUAUGAAGUUGCUACAUGUAGAAUUUACGUGAGAGGAGAGGGAAAAAGCCAUUGGAGGGAAUAUGAUGAAGCUUUUUUUAUUUAUUCUUGUUCUUUUACUUUUUUCCCCCUCUAAUUCUUUUUAUCUUGUUUAAUUGGAUUAUAGUGCACUGUAUGAUUCCAAAUGUAUCAUCUGUUGCACAUAGUUUAGGCUCAUCUUUGGAUAUAGUUGGAAGACAAGUGAUAUUUUUAAUAUUAUAAACCAUAUUAGUGUGC